UCAGUGAGAGGACAGAAGAGCUCACAUCAGUUCAGCUUCAACAUCAACAUGUUCUCUGUAGCUCUGAUACUGCUGCUGGCAGCUGGAUCCUGUGUGAACAGUAUUGAUCUCAUCCAGUCAGACUCAAUGGUUGUGCAGCCUGGACAGUCUUUGACCAUCACCUGUCAGGUCUCUGGAUAUUCUUUGACUGAUAACAGCUAUGCAACAGCUUGGAUCAGACAGCCUGCAGGGAAAGGACUGGAGUGGAUUGGAAGCAGAGCUGGAUCCACCACAUAUUACAAAGAUUCACUGAAGAACAAGUUCAGUAUCACCAUAGACUCUUCCAGUAACACAGUGACUCUAAACGGACAGAAUGUGCAGCCUGAAGACUCUGCUGUGUAUUACUGUGCCAGAGAGAGACACAAUAACACAAACCAUCAGUAG